UUCCGGUUGAUCCCGCCGGAGGCCACUGCUAUCGGGGUUCGACUAAGCCAUGCGAGUCGUAUGUUCCCCUUCGGGGGAGCAUGGCGCACUGCUCAGUAACACGUGGAUAACCUACCCUUGGGACAGGGAUAACCCCGGGAAACUUGGGAUAAUACCUGAUAGACCAUGGAGGCUGGAAGGCGCCAUGGUUCAAAGGGGCAACCGCCCGCCCAAGGAUGGGUCUGCGGCCUAUCAGGUUGUAGUGGGUGUAACGCACCUACUAGCCUACGACGGGUACGGGCUGUGGGAGCAGGAGCCCGGAGAUGGAUUCUGAGACAUGAAUCCAGGCCCUACGGGGUGCAGCAGGCGCGAAAACUUUACAAUGCGGGAAACCGUGAUAAGGGAACCUCGAGUGCCGAUGCAUAGCAUCGGCUGUCCAGAUGCCUAAAAAGCAUCUGAUAGCAAGGGCCGGGCAAGACCGGUGCCAGCCGCCGCGGUAACACCGGCGGCUCGAGUGGUGGCCACUUUUAUUGGGUCUAAAGCGUCCGUAGCCGGCUUGGCAAGUCCCCUGGGAAAUCUGGCGGCUUAACCGUCAGGCGUCCAGAGGAUACUGCCAGGCUUGGGACCGGGAGAGGUGAGAGGUACCUCAGGGGUAGGGGUGAAAUCUUGUGAUCCCUGAGGGACCACCAGUGGCGAAGGCGUCUCACUAGAACGGGUCCGACGGUCAGGGACGAAAGCUGGGGGCACGAACCGGAUUAGAUACCCGGGUAGUCCCA
rnacentral:rRNA from 5 species